rnacentral:tRNA from 1 species
GCCGGAGUGGCGGAAUUGGCAGACGCGCACGACUCAAAAUCGUGUUCCGUAAGGAAUGUGGGUUCGAUUCCCACCUUCGGCA